rnacentral:rRNA from 1 species
GAGAGUGUUGUACCCCAGCAUAAGCUGGUGGUUGCUGACUUCCGCUUUCGGAUUCGUGUCCGGUGGGAUAAGCAUGCCAAGGUCGCUAGAACGAAGUGGUGGAAGCUCAAGGGGGAGGUAGCUCAGGUGUUCAAGGAGAGGGUAUUUAAGGAGGGCCCUUGGGAGGAAGGAGGGGAUGCAGACAAUGUGUGGAUGAAGAUGGCGACUUGCAUUCGUAAGGUGGCCUCGGAGGAGUUUGGAGUGUCCAGGGGAAGGAGAAGCGAAGAUAAGGAUACCUGGUGGUGGAAUGAUGAUGUCCAGAAGGCGCUUAAAGAGAAGAAAGAUUGCUUCAGACGCCUAUACCUAGAUAGGAGUGCAGACAACAUAGAGAAGUACAAGAUGGCGAAGAAGGCCGCAAAGCGAGCUGUUGGUGAAGCAAGGGGUCGGGCAUAUGAGGACCUCUACCAACGGUUAGGCACGAAGGAAGGUGAAAGGGACAUCUAUAAGAUGGCUAAGAUCCAGGAGAGGAAGAUGAGGGAUAUUGGCCAAGUCAAAUGCAUCAAGGACGGAGCAGGCCAACUCUUGGUGAAGGACGAAGAGAUUAAGCAUAGAUGGCGGGAGUACUUCGACAAGCUGUUCAAUGGGGAGAAUGAGAGUUCUACCAUUGAACUGAAUGACUCCUUUGAUGAGACCAGCAUGCGUUUUGUGCGGCGCAUCCAGGAGUCUGAGGUGAAGGAGGCUUUAAAAAGGAUGAAAGGAGGCAAGGCAAUGGGCCCUGGUUGUAUCCCCAUUGAGGUGUGGAAAGGUCUCGGGGACAUAGCGAUAGUAUGGCUAACCAAGCUUUUCAACCUCAUUUUUCGGGCAAACAAGCUGCCAGAAGAAUGGAGACGGAGUAUAUUAGUACCAAUCUUCAACAGCAAGGGGGAUGUUCAGAGUUGUACUAAUUACCGUGGAAUUAAGCUGAUGAGCCAUACAAUGAAG